rnacentral:rRNA from 1 species
GGGAGGUAGUGACAAUAAAUCACAAUGCGGAACAAUGUUUUGCAAUUGGAUUGAGAACAACGUACAAACCUUAUCGAUAAACAAUUGGAGGGCAAGUCUGGUGCCAGCAGCCGCGGUAAUUCCAGCUCCAAUAGCGUAUAUUAACGUUGUUGCAGUUAAAAAGCUCGUAGUUGAAAUGAAGGGUAGUUGUGUAAUGAAUACAUUCGUGUAUUUUGUUAUUCUACUACCCUCCUUCUAAAUUCGAUAUAUGAGUAUUAAUUUACUUGUAUAUGGUUUUAGACCUUUACUGUGAGAAAAUUAGAGUGUUCAAAGCAGGCAUUUGCUUGAAUAUAUUAGCAUGGAAUAAUCAUGUAUGAUUUUCAUGAUGUAUUUGAUUGGUUUGGUUCAUGAGAAUAAGAUUAAAAGGGACAGUUGGGGGUAUUCAUAUUCAAUAGUCAGAGGUGAAAUUCUCGGAUUUAUGGAAGAUGAACAAGUGCGAAAGCAUUUACCAAGGAUGUUUUCAUUAAUCAAGAACGAAAGU